GUGUCAGCAGCCGCGGUAAUACGUAGGGUCCAAGCGUUAUCCGGAAUCACUGGGCGUAAAGCGUCCGCAGCCGGGAGCUUAAGUGAGAUGUUAAAUCGUGUGGCUCAACCAUAUCGAUGCAUUUCAUACUGGGCACCUAGAGGAAAUCAGAGGCAAGUGGAAUUGGUAGUGUAGCAGUGAAAUGCGUAGAUAUUACCAGGAACACCAAUGGCGAAGGCAGCUUGCUGGGAUUUUUCUGACGGUCAGGGACGAAAGCGUGGGGAGCGAACAGGAUUAGAAACCCCUGUAGUCC
rnacentral:rRNA from 1 species